UACGUAGGGGGCUAGCGUUGUCCGGAAUUACUGGGCGUAAAGGGCGCGUAGGCGGCCUUCUAAGUCGAACGUGAAAUCCCUGGGCUUAACCCAGGAACUGCGUCCGAGACUGGAAGGCUUGAAUCCGGGAGAGGGAUGCGGAAUUCCAGGUGUAGCGGUGAAAUGCGUAGAUAUCUGGAGGAACACCGGUGGCGAAGGCGGCAUCCUGGACCGGCAUUGACGCUGAGGCGCGAAAGCCAGGGGAGCAAACGGG
rnacentral:rRNA from 1 species